GCGUUUGUGGUUUAGUGGUAAAAUUGAUCGUUGCCAUCACUGGUUCUUCAGGAACCAGCAGCUGCUUCGAUCAGCCCCGGGUUCGAUUCCCGGCGGACGCA